rnacentral:rRNA from 1 species
AUGAAGAUUGUUGACGUUGUGUGUAAAAGCAAUCAUAGGAUGGAGGUUGUGAGGAAUGGUGGUUUUGGAUACUUACUUGAGCUAGAUGAUUGUUAUGUUCCACGGCCAUUCGCACAGUGGGUCGCGGACAACAUAUCCACAAAAUAUGAAUCAAUUGUACUUGCUGGGAAAUCAAUUCCUCUCAACCCUGAAGCUGUAUCAUUAAUUCUUGGUAUACCAGCAGGCAGAACAAAGAUCAGCAUGCUAGACGAGGAAUCUGGGAAAGCAGAGUUUCUAUCACUAUUUGGGCUAACAGAUCUCCCAUCCAUAAGUUUCUUCGGGAACAAGCUUAUGAAGGAAGAGCUGCCCGACGACGUUUAUCUUUGCUGCUUCUUGACUGUAGCACUAGCAACCUUCUUGUGUCCCACAUCCAACACAAAACCAAGCACAAAAUACUUGGGAGUACUCGUGGAUGUGUCAAAGUCAAAAGAUCUUGAUUGGUGCUCUCUUGUACAUACAUGGAAUAUGUCUUAUGUCAAGAAGUACCAAACAGACAAGUUCAAGCAGAAACGGAUAACAACGACUUUGGGAGGCUGCAUAUAUCAGCUAGCAGUUCGGUGUCUAGGCUUCAACAAUUUUGAAUCAAUAACAAUACCUCCAGCACUACCUAGAAUUUGUUUUUGGAAAGGACAAACCAUUAAACAUUUCAGCGAUAUGCUCCUCGGGAAAGAUGGACUCUACGGAGCUCUUCAAAUAAAAAAUGAGGCAGAAACUUGCUAUGUAGAAACUGACGGUGCAUGGGCAAGCACCGCCAAGAACUCAAACAUAAGAAAAGCUAUACAAAGGGUGUUAGGCAACUCUUUUUCAGAAAAGAUCAAAGAAGAUAUAUUCCUCAAUUUCCAGGAGCGUGUAAAGGAUCAAAACCUGACCCCAUGCCUGAUAGCAAAACAAGUGCUGCUGGAUACUUUGAACAUUGUCUCUUCUUCUUGUAAUGGCUCUCAACAUACAGAGAAGUUAGAGUCAUCCGACCAUUUAUACAUGCCAACUGACGAAGAUAACGGGUCUGGCAGUACUAUUAGAGUUGAUUCUAAUGGGAUUGAAAUGGGCAGUGAUCAAAGAGGCGGGAAGAGGAGAGUUAAGACUAGUAUACAGCAGUCAAUAUCUUCAACAACCAAGGACAUAUCAUUGCAAGAUAAAAUAAAGCUCCAGCAAAGCACUCUUGAAGUUGACAGAGAAGGAGUGAAAGCUGAAUUGCAUCCAAUAACAUGGAAUGCUCCUACAAAUGAGCACAAAGAUCAAGUUGAAAUGGAAGUAAAUUCUGGAAACGGUAAAGGUUGUACACACACAGGAACAACAGUAGAACAAUCAAUGCAUGUUGAAUGUGUUGCCCUGCAACAAGAAAGGGAGAAAUCACAAACAAGGUUGGCCGUGUUAAACACAACCAAGACACAAAUAUGA